CCUCAGAUUAAUAAACAAAAGGCAGAUGGAGCGCACCGAACAUGCGAGUGAAGCCACCAAAGCGAAUACAAAAUCAAAAGCGAAUACAAAGUCGCAGCAGUGCUAAAAAUAGCGUCGUAUUGUUUAAACGUCUCGAGUGAUUCAUUAUUUUGUGUAAAAAAAUGCCGUCUUGUGUUAUUAAACAUCGUGAAAGUUGUUCCCAAAAAUAAAAAAAAGAGGAUGGAAUUUCAUUUCACAGAUUGCCGACAGAUGUUGUUCUACGCGAGGAAUGGGUUUCUAUUAUUCGCCAAAGCAGGCAAGACAAUAAUUGGCAGGCUUCAAAAUUUUGCGUUGUGUGUUCAUUACAUUUUAAAGAGGAUGGCUUAUGCUUUAUCGAAAAAUGUCGUUGGUUGAUAAAAAAAAAUUCCAAUGUAAUUAUUUG